rnacentral:rRNA from 1 species
UGGGGAAUAUUGGACAAUGGGGGAAACCCUGAUCCAGCAAUGCCGCGUGAGUGAUGAAGGCCUUAGGGUUGUAAAGCUCUUUCGACGGGGACGAUGAUGACGGUACCCGUAGAAGAAGCCCCGGCUAACUUCGUGCCAGCAGCCGCGGUAAGACGAAGGGGGCUAGCGUUGUUCGGAAUUACUGGGCGUAAAGCGCGCGUAGGCGGUCUUUCAAGUCAGGAGUGAAAGCCCCGGGCUCAACCCGGGAAUAGCUCUUGAUACUGUUGGACUUGAGUCCGGGUGAGGAUAGUGGAAUUCCCAGUGUAGAGGUGAAAUUCGUAGAUAUUGGGAAGAACACCAGUGGCGAAGGCGGCUAUCUGGACCGGUACUGACGCUGAGGCGCGAAAGCGUGGGGAGCAAACAGG